rnacentral:tRNA from 1 species
ACUUAAAUAGUUUAAAAUAAAACGUUGAUUUGUGACAUCAAAAAUAUGAGGUAUCAUUUUAGGUC